AAUCUCUUUCAAUUAUUAAUAACAAUAGUUUUUCAUUGAUUCAGACAUUUUCUAUCAUUUAAAUUCAUUGUAAACUGCUUCAAUAAUUCAUUGUUGAGAUUUUUCCUAAUUUCAAAUAAUAAAACAUUAAAAAAUUAUAAGUUUUAAGAACUUUAUACUGAGCUACGUAAUUUCAAAUUCAUUCCCAAAAUUACAAGUAAAUGUUGAAAGAAAACGUAUACUACAUAAGUUCAUAUGCAUCAAGGUACACAAAAAAAAUUGGAAAUUCCAGUUCCAAAGAUCGGACCAUUAGAGGAGCUAGGUAUCGAGUUCUUGGGGUCGCUGAAUCCGAAUUCGAUAUCGCUUUUUAUGAGUUGGCUCAUUUCCAAGUUCAUUUGAAGGUCAAAGCGAGAAAAAGUGGAAAAAAAUCUGAAAAAAUUGUUAGAUAACUUUGCAACGAUCGUAAUUUCACGCGUUGGUUCACGAGCGCGAAAUCAGCGCGUCACGCGACGAGAAGACUUGGCCCCUCAUCAACAGCGCAAGAGGAUGCGCGAAAGGAGACAACGACAUGCGCGCGAGGAGACGCAGCAGAGAUGAGCAAGAGUCAGUUGGACCCCAGCAACAGAUCAACAGCAACAGAUCAACAGUCAGAUGGACCCGGACUCGCGAGCCGAAAAGGCUUACUUCAGGCAUGCGCCAAGAACCACUGCGACAGAAGCUUAUUAAUUUAAUUUCCAUGAAGAUACAAAUUUCACUCCCA